rnacentral:rRNA from 1 species
GAUGAACGCUGGCGGCGUGCUUAACACAUGCAAGUCGAGCGAGUGAGUUCUUCGGAACGAUCUAGCGGCGGACGGGUGAGUAACACGUGGGCAACCUGCCUCAUAGAGGGGAAUAGCCUUCCGAAAGGAAGAUUAAUACCGCAUAACAUCGUUGAAGGGCAUCCUUCGAUGAUCAAAGGAGCAAUCCGCUAUGAGAUGGGCCCGCGGCGCAUUAGCUAGUUGGUGAGGUAACGGCUCACCAAGGCGACGAUGCGUAGCCGACCUGAGAGGGUGAUGGGCCACAUUGGGACUGAGCCACGGCCCAGACUCCUACGGGAGGCAGCAGUGGGGAAUAGUGCACAAUGGGGGAAACCCUGAUGCAGCAACGCCGCGUGAGUGAUGACGGCCUUCGGGUUGUAAAGCUCUGUCUUUGGGGACGAUAAUGACGGUACCCAAGGAGGAAGUCACGGCUAACUACGUGCCAGCAGCCGCCGUAAGAC